rnacentral:rRNA from 1 species
GAUGAACGCUGACAGAAUGCUUAACACAUGCAAGUCGAUGGGGAAGUGGUGCUUGCACCAUGGCAACCAUGGCGGACGGGUGAGUAACGCGUAAGGGACUUACCUGCAGGACUGAGAUAACAGGGGGAAACUCCUGACAAGACCGGAUAAUGUCAUGGAGCUGCAUGGCUUUAUGAUGAAAGGAGACGCCUGCGGAGAGCCUUGCGUCCUAUUAGCUAGUUGGUGAGGUAAUGGCUCACCAAGGCGAAGAUAGGUAGCCGGCCUGAGAGGGUGGACGGCCACAAGGGGACUGAGAUACGGCCCUUACUCCUACGGGAGGCGGCAGUGGGGAAUAUUGGACAAUGGGGGCAACCCUGAUCCAGCAAUUCUGUGUGCACGAAGAAGGUUUUCGGAUUGUAAAGUGCUUUCAGCAGGGAAGAAGUAAGUGACGGUACCUGCAGAAGAAGCGACGGCUAAAUACGUG